GCAAGUCGAACGGUAGAGAGGUGCUUGCACCUCUUGAGAGUGGCGAACGGGUGAGUAACACGUAGAUAAUCUGCCCUUUAGUUGGGGAUAGCCCAUGGAAACAUGGGGUAAUACCGAAUAAUCUUGAAUCUGUAUUGGGUUUAAGGAAAGGAGCUAAGGCUUCGCUGAAGGAUGAGUUUGCGGUUCAUUAGCUAGUUGGUGGGGUAAAGGCCUACCAAGGCGACGAUGAAUAGCCGGCCUGAGAGGGUGAAC
rnacentral:rRNA from 1 species